rnacentral:rRNA from 1 species
GAUGAACGCUGGCUGCGUGCCUAAUACAUGCAAGUCGAGCGAACGGACGAGAAGCUUGCUUCUCUGAUGUUAGCGGCGGACGGGUGAGUAACACGUGGAUAACCUACCUAUAAGACUGGGAUAACUUCGGGAAACCGGAGCUAAUACCGGAUAAUAUUUUGAACCGCAUGGUUCAAAAGUGAAAGACGGUCUUGCUGUCACUUAUAGAUGGAUCCGCGCUGCAUUAGCUAGUUGGUAAGGUAACGGCUUACCAAGGCAACGAUGCAUAGCCGACCUGAGAGGGUGAUCGGCCACACUGGAACUGAGACACGGUCCAGACUCCUACGGGAGGCAGCAGUAGGGAAUCUUCCGCAAUGGGCGAAAGCCUGACGGAGCAACGCCGCGUGAGUGACGAAGGUCUUCGGAUCGUAAAACUCUGUUAUUAGGGAAGAACAUAUGUGUAAGUAACUGUGCACAUCUUGACGGUACCUAAUCAGAAAGCCACGGCUAACUACGUGCCAGCAGCCGCGGUAAUACGUAGGUGGCAAGCGUUAUCCGGAAUUAUUGGGCGUAAAGCGCGCGUAGGCGGUUUUUUAAGUCUGAUGUGAAAGCCCACGGCUCAACCGUGGAGGGUCAUUGGAAACUGGAAAACUUGAGUGCAGAAGAGGAAAGUGGAAUUCCAUGUGUAGCGGUGAAAUGCGCAGAGAUAUGGAGGAACACCAGUGGCGAAGGCGACUUUCUGGUCUGUAACUGACGCUGAUGUGCGAAAGCGUGGGGAUCAAACAGGAUUAGAUACCCUGGUAGUCCACGCCGUAAACGAUGAGUGCUAAGUGUUAGGGGGUUUCCGCCCCUUAGUGCUGCAGCUAACGCAUUAAGCACUCCGCCUGGGGAGUACGACCGCAAGGUUGAAACUCAAAGGAAUUGACGGGGACCCGCACAAGCGGUGGAGCAUGUGGUUUAAUUCGAAGCAACGCGAAGAACCUUACCAAAUCUUGACAUCCUUUGACAACUCUAGAGAUAGAGCCUUCCCCUUCGGGGGACAAAGUGACAGGUGGUGCAUGGUUGUCGUCAGCUCGUGUCGUGAGAUGUUGGGUUAAGUCCCGCAACGAGCGCAACCCUUAAGCUUAGUUGCCAUCAUUAAGUUGGGCACUCUAAGUUGACUGCCGGUGACAAACCGGAGGAAGGUGGGGAUGACGUCAAAUCAUCAUGCCCCUUAUGAUUUGGGCUACACACGUGCUACAAUGGACAAUACAAAGGGCAGCGAAACCGCGAGGUCAAGCAAAUCCCAUAAAGUUGUUCUCAGUUCGGAUUGUAGUCUGCAACUCGACUACAUGAAGCUGGAAUCGCUAGUAAUCGUAGAUCAGCAUGCUACGGUGAAUACGUUCCCGGGUCU